GACGAACGCUGGCGGCGUGCUUAACACAUGCAAGUCGAACGGAAAGGCCCUGCUUGCAGGGUACUCGAGUGGCGAACGGGUGAGUAACACGUGGGUGAUCUGCCCUGCACUUCGGGAUAAGCCUGGGAAACUGGGUCUAAUACCGGAUAGGAGCCAUUUUUAGUGUGAUGGUUGGAAAGUUUUUUCGGUGUAGGAUGAGCUCGCGGCCUAUCAGCUUGUUGGUGGGGUAAUGGCCUACCAAGGCGGCGACGGGUAGCCGGCCUGAGAGGGUGGACGGCCACAUUGGGGCUGAGAUACGGCCCAGACUCCUACGGGAGGCAGCAGGGGGGAAUAUUGCACAAUGGGCGCAAGCCUGAUGCAGCGACGCCGCGUGGGGGAUGACGGCCUUCGGGUUGUAAACUCCUUUCGCUAGGGACGAAGCUUUUUGUGACGGUACCUAGAUAAGAAGCACCGGCUAACUACGUG
rnacentral:rRNA from 1 species